rnacentral:rRNA from 1 species
UCCCGGUUGAUCCUGCCAGAGGUUACUGCUAUCGAGGUUCGACUAGGCCAUGCGAGUCGAAUGUAGCAAUACAUGGCGUACUGCUCAGUAACACGUGGAUAACCUACCCUUGAGACGGGGAUAAACCCGGGAAACUGGGUAUAAUACCCGAUAGAUCUCGACUGCUGGAAUGCAUCGAGCUUGAAAGCUCCGGCGCUCAAGGAUGGGUCUGCGGCCUAUCAGGUAGCAGUGGGUGUAGCGUACCUACUAGCCUACGACGGGUACGGGUUGUGAGAGCAAGAGCCCGGAGAUGGAUUCUGAGACACGAAUCCAGGCCCUACGGGGUGCAGCAGGCUCGAAAACUUUACAAUGCUGGAAACAGCGAUAAGGGGACCUCGAGUGCCAGGUUACAAAUCUGGCUGUCGUGAUGCCUAAAAAGCAUUGCAUAGCAAGGGCCGGGCAAGACGGUGCCAGCCCGCCGCGGUAACACCGGCCGCUCGAGUGGUAACCGUUAUUAUUGGGUCUAAAGGGUCUGUAGCCGGCCCGAUAAGUUUCUGGGGAAAUCUGGCAGCUAAACUGUAAGGCUUCAAGAGAUACUGUUUGCCUCAGGCCCGAAGAGGUGAGAGGUACUUAAGGGGUAGGGUGAAAUUUGUAAUUCUGAGGGACACCCGUGCAAAGGGUUUACCAAAAGGACCGGAGGAAGGGAAAAAAGCU